rnacentral:rRNA from 1 species
CAGCAGCCGCGGUAAUACCGAGGGUGCAAGCGUUAAUCGGAUUUACUGGGCGUAAAGGGCGCGUAGGUGGUUAUUUAAGUGAGAUGUGAAAGCCCCGGGCUUAACCUGGGAACUGCAUCUUAUACUGGGUAACUGGAGUGCAGUAGAGGGUAGUGGAAUUUCCGGUGUAGCGGUGAAAUGCGUAGAUAUCGGAAGGAACACCAGUGGCGAAGGCGGCUACCUGGACUGAGACUGACACUGAGGCGCGAGAGCGUGGGGAGCAAACAGGAUUAGAUACCCCGGUAGUCCCUGUCUCUUAUAC